GUCCACGCCCUAAACGAUGAUCACUAGGUGUUGGGGAGCGAUUCCUUGGUACCGUAGCUAACGCGUGAAGUGAUCCGCCUGGGGAGUACGGUCGCAAGAUUAAACUCAAAGGAAUUGACGGGACCCGCACAAGCGGUGGAUGAUGUGGAUUAAUUCGAUGCAACGCGAACAACCUUACCUACCCUUGACAUGUCCGGAACCCUGCUGAGAGGUGGGGUGCCCGAAAGGGAAUCGGAACACAGGUGCUGCAUGGCUGUCGU
rnacentral:rRNA from 1 species